GGCCGGUUAGCUCAGCUGGUUAGAGCGUGGUGCUAAUAACGCCAAGGUCGCGGGUUCGACCCCCGUACUGCCCA
rnacentral:tRNA from 1 species